AAAUUGAAGAGUUUGAUCAUGGCUCAGAUUGAACGCUGGCGGCAGGCCUAACACAUGCAAGUCGAACGGUAACAGGAAACAGCUUGCUGUUUCGCUGACGAGUGGCGGACGGGUGAGUAAUGUCUGGGAAACUGCCUGAUGGAGGGGGAUAACUACUGGAAACGGUAGCUAAUACCGCAUAAUGUCGCAAGACCAAAGAGGGGGACCUUAGGGCCUCUUGCCAUCGGAUGUGCCCAGAUGGGAUUAGCUAGUAGGUGGGGUAACGGCUCACCUAGGCGACGAUCCCUAGCUGGUCUGAGAGGAUGACCAGCCACACUGGAACUGAGACACGGUCCAGACUCCUACGGGAGGCAGCAGUGGGGAAUAUUGCACAAUGGGCGCAAGCCUGAUGCAGCCAUGCCGCGUGUAUGAAGAAGGCCUUCGGGUUGUAAAGUACUUUCAGCGGGGAGGAAGGGAGUAAAGUUAAUACCUUUGCUCAUUGACGUUA
rnacentral:rRNA from 1 species